GUGAAAGCCGAAAGCCCUUACACAGGCACUAAGGAAGCCCCAUUGGGUUCCUGGUUUAGAUUCAGACAAUGAAGAAGUCACUGUUCCAGAUGAGCGUGGUCAGGUUGAUCCAGGCCAACCUGUCUGCCCUGUGACUUGGCUCAGCCCUGAGCCCCAAGCUCCCCUAGCCCAUGUCCCUGGAGCUUGUAGCUGAAUUGGUGGGCACAUGGGCAGAAUGACAGGCAAACAUGCUUCAAGUUCUGCUUCCCUCUGCUCUGGCGGGUUCAGCUAGAGGAAUCAGGGCAGCACCUGGAAAGUCAUGGGAGAUCUGCAGUUUCUGUCUUUCCGUCUUUGGCAGAACUAUCUUUGGGUGAUGUCUGGCAACCUGCAAUGGUGAUUAUGCUAAGUGUCCCAGUGAUAUAUGAAGUCCUAGUCCUGGUUCAAGCAUCUGGAUUAGGAGGGAAUCUCCAACGGUGGAAGUGGUGACAAUGGGAACCAAGACAGGAAAACCUCCCCUGGUUUAUUUGGAAUUGGUCUGAUGAAUCUCAAAUCCUUGAGGAGUCUGGAGCUCUUCCGGGCAGCAGGAGAUCAGCCAAUGGACCCCACUCCUGGGAGCGGGAAGCUGGCCAGUGCAAUUUGCAGCAUGGACUCUUUCUGCUGCCCCAGUGCUGCCUGCUACAAGGGACAUCCUCUUCACAUAGCCAGUCCUUGGGCGCCCAUGCCAAGCCACCUCAGAGUCCACAGACUCAUUGCACUUGGAAUCCCGCUCCCUGUGGCAGGACUCCCGCCUCAUCCAGUAUGACUGAAACCAGGAAGAUGAUGCUUUCCCCAUGUGGGCAAGGCACCAGAAGCAGACCAGCAGACCAGCAGACAAGCAGACGUACAGCGAAAUGAUGUGGCAGAGAGAGAGAAAAAAAAGGAGGGACAGCUGAACACUGAGGAGAGUUCGACUGGGGCGAUUGGAGAAGAGUCCAGCUACUGGGAGGCCCAACUCCAGGGGAAGAUCACCUUCCACUCCAUUCCUCCUUCCAGUUCCCUA